rnacentral:rRNA from 1 species
AGCGAACGCUGGCGGCAGGCCUAACACAUGCAAGUCGAACGAAGUCUUCGGACUUAGUGGCGGACGGGUGAGUAACACGUGGGAACGUGCCUUUAGGUUCGGAAUAACUCAGGGAAACUUGUGCUAAUACCGAAUGUGCCCUUCGGGGGAAAGAUUUAUCGCCUUUAGAGCGGCCCGCGUCUGAUUAGCUAGUUGGCGAGGUAAAGGCUCACCAAGGCUACGAUCAGUAGCUGGUCUGAGAGGAUGACCAGCCACAUUGGGACUGAGACACGGCCCAAACUCCUACGGGAGGCAGCAGUGGGGAAUCUUGCGCAAUGGGCGAAAGCCUGACACAGCCAUGCCGCGUGGAUGAUGAAGGUCUUAGGAUUGUAAAAUCCUUUCACCGGUGAAGAUAAUGACUGUAGCCGGAGAAGAAGCCCCGGCUAACUUCGUGCCAGCCGCCGCCGUAAUAC